CCAAGAAUUUUCCGCAAUGGGGGAAACCCUGACGGAGCGACGCCGCGUGAGGGAUGAAGGUCUUCGGAUUGUAAACCUCUUUUGUAAGGGAAGAAUAAGGUUAGUAGGAAAUGAUUAACUGAUGACGGUACCUUAUGAAUCAGCCCCGGCUAAUUACGUGCCAGCAGCCGCGGUAAUACGUAAGGGGCGAGCGUUGCUCGGAAUUACUGGGCGUAAAGGGCGUGUAGGCGGUUCUACAAGUCGAAUGUAAAAGCCCGCGGCUCAACCGCGGAUCUGCGUUUGAAACUGUAGGACUAGAGUUUGGUGGAGGUAGAUGGAAUUCCCGGUGUAGCGGUGAAAUGCGUAGAUAUCGGGAAGAACACCGAAGGCGAAGGCAGUCUUCCAUGCCAAAACUGACGCUGAGGCGCGAAAGCAUGGGGAUCAAACAGG
rnacentral:rRNA from 1 species